rnacentral:ncRNA from 2 species
CACAUUCACCGCGGACUUCGUGCUCGGGAAGACGGUUCCAAGCCGUCGCCGCCGCGCGACUGUAAGGCGGAAGUCGCUCACCUUGUGAGCGCUUGAAAAAAAGUUCGCAGACCACUGCUCUUUCGCGGGAAGGCUGCGAGCUGGUAGUACCGCCAAGCCAGGAGACCGGCGAAGUCUGCAGCCUGUGC